rnacentral:rRNA from 1 species
GCGGCAACAGCUCAAAUUUGAAAUCUGGCGCAAGCCCGAGUUGUAAUUUGUAGAGGAUGCUUCUGGGUAGCGACCGGUCUAAGUUCCUUGGAACAGGACGUCAUAGAGGGUGAGAAUCCCGUAUGUGACCGGCCCGCACCCUUUACGUAGCUCCUUCGACGAGUCGAGUUGUUUGGGAAUGCAGCUCUAAAUGGGAGGUAAAUUUCUUCUAAAGCUAAAUACCGGCCAGAGACCGAUAGCGCACAAGUAGAGUGAUCGAAAGAUGAAAAGUACUUUGGAAAGAGAGUUAAAAAGCACGUGAAAUUGUUGAAAGGGAAGCGCCUGCAACCAGACUUCGCGGCAGUGUUCCGCCGGUCUUCUGACCGGUUUAUUCUCUGUCGCGAGGCCAUCAUCGUCUGGGCCCGCCGGAUAAGACCUUAGGAAUGUAGCUCACCUUUGGGGGAGUGUUAUAGCCUAUGGUGAUGCGGCGAGGCUCGGGCGAGGUCCGCGCUUCGGCAAGGAUGAUGGCGUAAUGGUUGUCGGCGGCCCGUCUUGAAACACGGACCAAGGAGUCUAACAUCUAUGCGAGUGUUCGGGUGUCAAACCCCUACGCGUAAUGAAAGUGAACGGAGGUGGGAACCGCAAGGUGCACCAUCGACCGAUCCUGAUGUCCUCGGAUGGAUUUGAGUAAGAGCAUAGCUGUUGGGACCCGAAAGAUGGUGAACUAUGCCUGAAUAGGGUGAAGCCAGAGGAAACUCUGGUGG